rnacentral:lncRNA from 1 species
UUAGUACAUAAUAACGACGCUUUACAAAGCGUCCUUAAAUUAAAAGUUUCUUGUAGUGUCAGUGAUGCGGAUCGGGCCUUUCGAGUGUACGAACGUCGUCGAUGCUACAACCACAAUUGGAGCAUAUGGCUUGAUCAACCCGAGAUAGGUCCGGUUGAAUCGAACCUACGAAUUUCUAUAAGUAUCGUAGGUUCUAGAAGGAUCUAGGGAAAUUCACUUCUUGAUUAUUUGAACUUAUCUAGUUGUUAGAAUUUUAUCUAAAAGUUGUUAAGAAAGUUGUUAAUUUGGUAGAGAUUUUAUUGUUAUGAUUUUAUCUAAAAGUUGUUAGGAAAGUUGUUAUUUUGGUAGAGAUUUUAUUAUUAGGAUUUUGUUUUGAGCUUAUCACUGUCAGGAAAAACUCUUUAAUUAUUCUAUGCAUUGGAUGAUAAAAAAAAAUUGAAGAAGAAUGUUUUUUUUUUUAAAUGAGAUGUGUUCUCUAAUUUUCCUCCGCAUUUAUGCAUCGACCGGAGUAAGUCCAUAGGGAGCGAGUCCCUUUAUCUUUAUCUUUUCCAUUCGCAAUUUCUUCUACGACUUGAAUGUUAGAAAAUUGCGUACGGUAAAAAAGGCAGCGGAAAAAGAAAUCAAACAAAUUUGAUUUUUGAAAAACUCUCGAGAUCAAAUCUCAAAAACCACGCAAUUAGGAUCCCUUAUGUUCUUUAAGAUUAAAGGAGAAAAACAAGAUCGAAUCUUUACCUUUUUCGCGGAUAGAUCUUCCUUGUUAAAUUUGAUGAUCGUGGAAUUCGGUUCUCUUGAAGCCGCACACGCGUCCGGCCUCUAUAGGUAUCCACACGAGGUUCUUGAUUUGAUCGAUGUCCUCACCGGGGUGCUAGCUCCCUUGCAAAAGGACGUCUAUUUGCUAGAAGAUGGAAGAGAGGAGAAGAGAUAUGACGGCUUGGGUUUUCUAAAAACUCCCGUAUAUUAUAUAUAGGAAUAUAAUCCUAUUCCUAAUAAUAUAAUGACAAUUAAGGAUAAGUAUAAAUCUAGAUUUAAAUUUAUCUUUUCCUUAAUUGGUUAGAUCGAUCAAAUCCUAAUUUGAUUCGACUUGAAUUUUAUAUUAAUUUGAUCUUAUCAAAUUAAUAAUGCAACAUUUGCACAUAAGUCCUCUUAUAAUUUACUAACUAUUAGUAAGUCCUCUCUUGUAACAUUUACACCUUAAUACCACUAAUUUGUAACAAUUACAAAUUAGUCCAAUUAUCAUUAUAUUGACAAUUAGGUCCUCCGACGAUUCAAUAAUCGCGAUCUAGCUAUUCGAUCAAUCACAACCUCUUAUGUGUGUGACCCCAUAGGUUCUAUUCUAUCUGGUAGUGAGAUAUAUUUUGAUCACUAUCAACAAUAUCACUGAAACUCCUUUCAGUGGAUCGGAACAAUUCCAACUCAGCCCAAUGAGAAUUAUCGAUCAUCUAGAUAAUUCUCAUGAGUCUCACAAUCCACCAGUGACGC